UGGAAAACGUAAGCUGUGCUGUCAUUG
rnacentral:piRNA from 1 species